rnacentral:misc_RNA from 1 species
GUAUAGUAGUGCGUGUGCACAACAGUAAUUUCAUUACAUUCGAGUGGGUGUAAAAUCCUCUGCCCGCCGAAGCUAGCAAGAGGCCAAAGGUUCACAGGGGUAUUGGAAUGAAAGCCACCGACGUGCACUUGCAGGAGCCAGCACAGAAGGCAACAGUUUACAAUCAAUAAUGAUCCUUCCGCAGGUUCACCUACGGAAA